AUUAAUUAAUUAAUUAAAAAAAAAGACUCACUUAUUUUCCUAGGAGCUCUGCCAGCCUGUCCAGCAUAAAGCUGACAGGAUUCUUAUGUUAGUAUUUCCUUUGCCGCUGUUCCUGUAUUUACCUGUAUUAUCCUUUUUUUUCUUUUCUUCAGGGAAGGUUAUCGCUGGGGCUCGGUGCCUACACUAUGAAUCCGCUGCUCCUGGAGUUCAUUUUCCCCAUUUUGUUGCCCUUGUUGUUGCCGUUAUUGUUACUGCUGUCAUUGCUGUUGUUGGAUAGGACAGAGAGAAAUGGAGAGAGGAGGGGAAGACAGAGGGGGAAAGACAGACACCUGCAGACCUGCUUCACCGCCUGUGAAGCGACCCCCUGCAGGUGAGGGGAGUCGGGGGCUCAGAUGGGAUCCUUACGCCGGUCCUUGCGCUUCUCGGCCUAUGGCUUAACCCGCUCCAGUAUCUCAUCUAGGCACUCAGCCAGAUAUGAACCACCUGGAGCCCCCCCUUAUUUUUAUGUUUAAAAAAUUUUAUCACAAGAUGGCUUUACCUGGGUGUUAAGCGGCUUCCUAACAGUACCGAAAAUCAUGGCCAAGAACAUAUUUCACAUAGCCAGCCAAAAAAACUUAAAGGCUAAAAAUAAAGCAAAACCAGUUACCACUAAUCUUAAAAAGCAGAAACAGCUGGUUCCACAAAAGUGUCACGAAAAUGAGCCAGCUAAUGUUGAUGAAGCCACAAGACUACUGGGUCAGCUGUGGUGUACUGGCGAUGGAUCGGGUUCCCCCAAAGACCAAUAAAUCAAAUGUUUUAUACAAAAAAAAAAAA